CUGGCUCAGAACGAACGCUGGUGGCGUGUCUAUACAUGCAAGCGAGCGAGGCAGCAAUGCCGAGCGGCGAACGGGUGAGUAACGCGUAAGCAAUCUGCCCCAUAUCAGGAAAUACCCGUGCCAACGCGCGGUUAAUGUCCAGGAGAGUGGCCCUCUGCAUGGAGGGUUGACUAGAGAUUUAUCGGUAUGGGAUGAGCUUGCGUCCGAUUAGCUAGUUGGCGGGGCAACGGCCCACCAAGGCGACGAUCGGUAGCCGGCCUGAGAGGGUGAUCGGCCACAUUGGGACUGAGAUACGGCCCAGACUCCUACGGGAGGCAGCAGUAGGGAAUAUUGCACAAUGGGGGAAACCCUGAUGCAGCAACGCCACGUGUGGGAAGAAGCAUUUCGGUGUGUAAACCACUGUCAUGAGGGAAUAAGGCCCGCCUUCGGGCGGGAUUGAAUGUACCUUGAGAGGAAGCACCGGCAAACUUCGUGCCAGCAGCGGC
rnacentral:rRNA from 1 species